rnacentral:rRNA from 1 species
GACGAACCGUGCAAACGUUGUUCGGAAUCACUGGGCUUAAAGGGCGCGUAGGCGGCUCAUCAAGUCGGGGGUGAAAUACUUCAGCUUAACUGGAGAAGUGCCUUCGAUACUGGUGGGCUUGAGGGAGGUAGGGGUCUUUGGAACUUCUGGUGGAGCGGUGAAAUGCGUUGAUAUCAGAAGGAACGCCGGUGGCGAAAGCGAAAGGACUGGACCUCUUCUGACGCUGAGGCGCGAAAGCUAGGGGAGCAAACGGG